rnacentral:rRNA from 1 species
ACUCAAAUGAAUAGACGGGGGCCCGCACAAGCGGUGGAGCAUGUGGUUUAAUUCGACGCAACGCGAAGAACCUUACCUGGGUUUGACAUGUAUAGGACAGGUGAUGAAAAUCACCCUCUCUUCGGAGCUUAUACACAGGUGCUGCAUGGCUGUCGUCAGCUCGUGUCGUGAGAUGUUGGGUUAAGUCCCGCAACGAGCGCAACCCUCGCCCUUUGUUGCUACCGGGUCAUGCCGGGCACUCUGAGGGGACUGCCCCGGUGAACGGGGAGGAAGGUGGGGAUGACGUCAAGUCCUCAUGGCCUUUAUGUCCAGGGCUACACACGUGCUACAAUGGUCAGGACAAUGGGUCGCUCCCUCGCAAGGGGUUGCCAAUCUCAAAAACCUGAUCCUAGUUCGGAUGGUCGGCUGCAACUCGCUGGCCUGAAGCUGGAAUCGCUAGUAAUCGGAGAUCAGCACGCUCCGGUGAAUACGUUCCCGGGCCUUGCACACACCGCCCGU